rnacentral:lncRNA from 1 species
GGAAUAAUCAAUUGUAUACCAAUUUGAUAAUUAUUGUCCAAUGUAUGUUUUAGAUCAAGGAUUUUAUAGAACUGUUUUAUAAGUAAAAGGUACAAUCAAUUGUGUACAACUUUAAUAACAGCCGUACUCAAGUUGGCUAAAAGGAAAAAAUAUUGUGAACAAGCUGAUGUUACUGGAAAAUAUCGGGAGUAGCUGUUACUUCAAUUUUUAAAAAAACUUGUAUGCAUAGUUGGCUGAAGAGGGGCUUAAAAGCCCGAAACGUGUAAAAUUU